UGCUUCGUAGUUGAAAAACAAUAUUAAAUUGCAAAUUUAAAGGUGUGGGAUUACCGAGGCAU
rnacentral:tRNA from 1 species